GUCAAUGACCAUAAUAGAAAACAAUUCAAACCGGGAAGGGUUAGCUAAUGAAGAGCUUUGCAUAGAAACUGAUUAUUUAGCUAUUCUUGACAGCACUUAUGUUGUUUGGCUACUUUGUUCUCAAUUUAGUUAUGUAAACAUCUUGGUGCUAAUCCGUUGAGGUGUAUAAUUUUAUUUUUUCAAUUUUUAGUGCAACUUAUACAGUGGAAUUGUUGACUGGAAAAUAUUCUAUAUAAGUAUAUUUUAAGAUUGUUUUAAGUCUUUUCCUAAAAGUGAAGGGAAUGAAUUUCAAGUUAUC
rnacentral:lncRNA from 1 species